UUAACCAUCCUGGAGCACAGAGUUCUGCUCAGCCACAAAACAGCACAUACAGCUGACAGCGGGGUGGAUUUGUACAUGCUGUUCACCUUAUGUUCCUUAACUGUGUUCUGCAGAGACCACAUCUAAGGUGGUAGUUUUGUUCUCAGGCCCAUUUAAUCCAUGGCUGCU
rnacentral:sRNA from 14 species